ACCUUCAUGCUGUUUUUCCAGAGUGGCUCUAUCAGCUUGCACUGCCACCAACAGUGUGAGAGGGUUCCCCUUUCUCCA